UCGCCUGUUUAUCAAAAACAUCGCCUCUUGAAAAAUAUAAGAGGUCCAGCCUGCCCAGUGACUCUGUUCAACGGCCGCGGUAUCCUAACCGUGCGAAGGUAGCGUAAUCACUUGUUCUUUAAAUGAGGACUAGUAUGAAAGGCAUCACGAGGGUUAUACUGUCUCCUUUUUCUAAUUAGUGAAACUAAUCUCCCCGUGAAGAAGCGGGGAUCUUUAUAUAAGACGAGAAGACCCUAUGGAGCUUUAAAUAAUAUAACAAUUGCUACUUUAUCUCUAUUAACUUUAUAUCAUCUAGCAAUAUGAUUAUUAAUUUUUGGUUGGGAUGACCGCGGAGCAUAACAUAACCUCCAUAUUGAAAGGAUAAUUCUCCUAAGCUAAAAGCAACAACUUUAUGCAUCAAUAAAUUGACAUCAAUUGACCCAAUAUAUUUGAUCAACGAACCAAGUUACCCUAGGGAUAACAGCGCAAUCUACUUUAAGAGCCCAUAUCGACAAGUAGGUUUACGACCUCGAUGUUGGAUCAGGGUAUCCUAGUGGUGCAGCCGCUACUAAUGGUUCGUUUGUUCAACGAUUAAAACCCUACGUGAUCUGAGUUCAGACGGGA
rnacentral:rRNA from 1 species